CACGGGCGGGGCAAUCGUGACCGAGGCUGCCCCCGAGAGGUGGGCAGCUUCCUUCUCACUCUGUGGCCUUCCUCUUCCAGGGGCUGAAAUCCGUGCAUGAAGCAGCAGGCUGAAUGGAUGGAGCACCCCUCCCCACCCCCGUGGAAGAAUGCUUGUCUGUUGUACAACUGGGAACUAUGGAUUACAGAGAAAGCGUCCCCUCAAAAUACUGUCAAUCAGGCCCGGCGUGGUGGCGCAUCGCCUUUAAUCCCAGCACUUGGGAGGCAGAGAGUUCACUGAUGGUCCUGAUGGUCGGCGCAGUGGGGAUGGGACAGGCGUGGAUCAGAAGAACCAGUGUGAUGGAUGGGAGUGUAAAAUGAUGCAGCUGCUAUGGAAACAGUACACGGAACCCUGAAACUUAACAGAACAGAAUUACCAUACAAUCCAGCAAGUCUACUUUUGGGUAUAUAUCCAAAAAAUUGUAAUUAAAAAUAGUCUUGAAGAGAUA